rnacentral:rRNA from 1 species
CGUAGGCGCAAGCGUUAUCCGGAAUUAUUGGCGUAAGAGCUCGUAGGCGGUUUGUCGCGUCUGCCGUGAAAGUCCGGGCUCAACUCCGGAUCUGCGGUGGUACGGCAGACUAGAGUGAUGUAGGGAGACUGGAAUUCCUGGUGUAGCGGUGAAAUGCGCAGAUAUCAGGAGGAACACCGAUGGCGAAGGCAGGUCUCUGGGCAUUAACUGACGCUGAGGAGCGAAAGCAUGGGAGCGAACAGGAUU